GUGCCUAUAGCUCAGUGGUUAGAGCACCGGCCUCAUACACUGAGGCUGGCGGGUUCGAACCCAGCCCAGGGAUG
rnacentral:tRNA from 1 species